AUGCCACCCUACCAUAUAACUGGAAUUAACCGAUGCAAGUCGAAGAAGGAUUGGCCGGUGCUGCCAGCUGGCGUCACGUUCGAUCCCACGGAUCAGGAGCUGAUCGAGCACCUUGAGGCCAAAGUGAGUGCUGACAGCGCGAGAUCUCACUCUCUCAUCGAUUUGUUCAUACCAACCAUCAACAGCGAGCACGACAUAUUCUACACCCAGCCUGAGAAACUUCCAGGUAUCACACUGAGUGGCCUAAGCAAGCAUUUCUUCCAGCGCAAUUCCAGGGCGUUCAAAAGGGGCACGUGGACGCGUCGCAAGAUACAGUUGGAGUGCGGCAUGCACGCGACGUGGCACAAUACCGGCAAUACCUUGCCGGUGAUGGUCAACGGCCGGCAGACGGGCAUCAAAAAGGUUUUGGUGCUGCAGACCAACAAGAACUUUCACCAGCAGAGGACCAACUGGGUGAUGCACCAGUACCACCUCGGGGGCCUGGGGCAAGAGAAGGAGCGGGAGCUGGUCCUCUGCAGGAUUUUCUACCAGACGAACACUAGGGCCAGGAGUAAAAAGAUUAUAAGUUAG
rnacentral:rRNA from 1 species